rnacentral:rRNA from 1 species
UACGUAGGGGCGCAAGCGUUAUCCGGAAUUAUUGGGCGUAAAGAGCUCGUAGGCGGUUUGUCGCGUCUGCCGUGAAAGUCCGGGGGCUCAACUCCGGAUCUGCGGUGGGUACGGGCAGACUAGAGUGAUGUAGGGGAGACUGGAAUUCCUGGUGUAGCGGUGAAAUGCGCAGAUAUCAGGAGGAACACCGAUGGCGAAGGCAGGUCUCUGGGCAUUAACUGACGCUGAGGAGCGAAAGCAUGGGAGCGAACAGG